rnacentral:rRNA from 1 species
UACGUAGGUGGCAAGCGUUAUCCGGAAUUAUUGGGCGUAAAGCGCGCGCAGGCGGUCUUUUAAGUCUGCUGUUAAAGCCCACGGCUCAAGCGUGGUUCGCAUUGGAAACUGGGAGACUUGAGUAUUGAAGAGGAAAGUGGAAUACCACGUGUAGCGGUGAAAUGCGUAGAGAUGUGGUGGAACACCAGUGGCGAAGGCGACUUUCUGGUCAAAUACUGACGCUGAGGCGCGAAAGCGUGGGGAGCAAACAGG